GAGAAGAUUAUUACCACUUUGCAGAUUUGAAGCUCCUCCGAAGAAAAUUCACUUUCAACAUUCUUUCUUGAAACUUAAUAAUUUAAAAAAGGAGGGCAACCAUGCUUGGUGUGCUUGCUUUUGGCAAAUUAAGAGACUGAAACUCUUGUAUAGAACUGUUGUCUCUUCCUGUUCUUUCUACCAGUGAUUAAUACGAGGGACUUCAGUCUUAUCUUAUACUCAAAAGAAAGAAGUGGUAUUUGUAUCGGUUUUUUUAACUUUCUAGGAACUGCAGUCAGUAAUAGGAUCUUGUCCAGCAACGGAAAUAACUGAAAGGACCAAGGUUCUUCUCUACACAGUAUUAUCGUGUACCAUAUAAUCUGUUUAUUUUUCUCAUUAUUCAAAGCAGUGUUUAUAGAAUAAAGUUCUGUUAACUUAAGUUUGGCAUUUUGUAAUUAAAUUGAUCUUGUUUCCUUAA